GACACAACUCCACAUGACUCAGAAGCCCUUCUUAAAAUAAGACCAGACCACAUUCAUGGAGGCUGAGUCACCUCUAACCUUCCAAACUUGUGCCUCACCAAGAAUGAAAGACAACCUAUGCAAAAACGAUGGAUUUUCCAAUGUAAAUAAAAACCACUCCUCUCCAGAAAAUAAACAACGGCUGCUAAGAUGAUUAAAAAUAGAAGAAGAAGGAGAAGAAAGCUUUAAAAGCAUGUGAAAUUCAUUCACGUUAAAAUCUCCUACAGACACGUAAGAAGAUGAAGUGCUCCUGAUGGCUGCUUUCAAUCACUGGAAGGACCGUGAAAGAGUGAGGGAUUCCUCCCGGUGAAUGAAGCCAGCUCACCACUGUCAAGGGCAAGGGAUCAGCGUGUGUUCAUGUGGAGGCCUCUCACCAAGGGAACCUGAGAGGACAGCACAGGAAUUUCAGAGCCAGCACCCAUGGAAUGCUCAGGGAGUUCGGGUUUCAUCCAACCAGCCAGUUGACGAAUACUCUCUGAGUGCCUGUCACCCAUUGCCUCCUCUCCUGGGCAGUGAGGCCAGGCCAG